rnacentral:rRNA from 1 species
GAUGAACGCUGGCGGCGUGCCUAAUACAUACAAGUCGAGCGAACAGACGAGGAGCUUGCUCCUCUGACGUUAGCGGCGGACGGGUGAGUAACACGUGGAUAACCUACCUAUAAGACUGGGAUAACUUCGGGAAACCGGAGCUAAUACCGGAUAACAUGUUGAACCGCAUGGUUCAACAGUGAAAGACGGUCUUGCUGUCACUUAUAGAUGGAUCCGCGCCGCAUUAGCUAGUUGGUAAGGUAACGGCUUACCAAGGCAACGAUGCGUAGCCGACCUGAGAGGGUGAUCGGCCAUACUGGAACUGAGACACGGUCCAGACUCCUACGGGAGGCAGCAGUAGGGAAUCUUCCGCAAUGGGCGAAAGCCUGACGGAGCAACGCCGCGUGAGUGAAGAAGGUCUUCGGAUCGUAAAACUCUGUUAUUAGGGAAGAACAAAUGUGUAAGUAACUAUGCACGUCUUGACGGUACCUAAUCAGAAAGCCACGGCUAACUACGUG